AUUGAACGCUGGCGGCAGGCCUAACACAUGCAAGUCGAACGGUAACAGGAAGAAGCUUGCUUCUUUGCUGACGAGUGGCGGACGGGUGAGUAAUGUCUGGGAAACUGCCUGAUGGAGGGGGAUAACUACUGGAAACGGUAGCUAAUACCGCAUAACGUCGCAAGACCAAAGAGGGGGACCUUCGGGGCUCUUGCCAUCGGCUUUGCCCAGAUGGGAUUAGCUAGUUGGUGGGGUAACGGCUCACCAAGGCGACGAUCCCUAGCUGGUCUGAGAGGAUGACCAGCCACACUGGAACUGAGACACGGUUCAGACUCCUACGGGAGGCAGCAGUGGGGAAUAUUGCACAAUGGGCGCAAGCCUGAUGCAGCCAUGCCGCGUGUAUGAAGAAGGCCUUCGGGUUGUAAAGUACUUUCAGCGGGGAGGAAGGGAGUAAAGUUAAUACCUUUGCUCAUUGACGUUACCCGCAGAAGAAGCACCGGCUAACUCCGUGCCAGCCGCCGCCGUAA
rnacentral:rRNA from 1 species